rnacentral:rRNA from 1 species
CCCUCGGGAAACUGAGGUUAAUAUCUGAUAGGAGAUUUAUACUGGAAAGAUUAAUCUUUAAAAUUCGAGCCUAAGGAUGGGGCUGCGGUGGAUUAGGUUGUUGGCGGGGUAAUAGCCCACCAAGCCUUUGAUCCAUAGGGGCUCUUAGCGGAGAAGCCCCGAGAGGGAAUCUGAGACACUAUUCCCAGCCCUACGGGGUGCAGCAGUUAGGAAUAUUCUGCAAUGCGCGUAAGCGUGACAGAUUGAGUCAGAGUGCGCUUCAAUUUGGAGUGCUUUUGCUAAAUGUAAAAAGUUUGGCGAAUAAGGACUGGGUAAGACGAGUGCCAGCCGCCGCGGUAAUACUCGCGGUCCAAGUCGCAGCCAUUUUUAUUGGGUCUAAAACAUCCGUAGCUUGCUUGGUGAGUUCCUUGUGAAAUUCUAUAUCUCAAAUAUGGAGCGUGCAGGGAGUACUGCCAAGCUAGAGACUGGAAGACGUAACGAGUACGUUUGGAGUAGCGGUAAAAUGUGUUAAUCCCGGACGGACUAACAAUAGCGAAGGCACGUUACGAGGACAGUUCUGACAGUAAGGGAUGAAGGCUAGGGGCGCAAAACGGAUUAGAUACCCGUGUAGUCCUAGCAGUAAACACUGCACACUAAACAUUAGUACCUCCUCGAGAGGUAUUGGUGCUGAAGCGAAGGCAAAGAGUGUGCUACCUGGGAAGUAUAGUCGCAAGGCCGAAACUUAAAGGAA